GCUACCCCACCCUAUAGUUUAAACCCCUCUGGCCCUUACUCCAACUGCCAUCUGGCUGACUGGGGCCCCACCCGCACACUGCCGGGCAGGUUGACAGCCCCAGCGGCCCCAGCCCUGGCCCUCCUGCCCCCUGUGCUGCCUGGGGGAGCUCUGCCAGGAGGCCCUGGAGCCCCCCGACCCCUGCUUCUAAGGCUGUGUGGCAUUCGAGGAAUAGCCAAAGAAAUAAGAGAGCCCCUGGCAUGCCUCUGCACACCAUCUACACUGGGACCCUCUUACAGGUUUUCCCAUGAAGCAUUCUGUUUUUGACAACACUUCUGGAUGGACUCCAGAGAAUGGGUAGGAGCUAGAACGGUCUGCAGAGGAUAAGGGGAACAAACUGAGAAGUACAUGCAGUCUGGAAGAACUAUGAUGAGUCUGGCUACGAGUAUGUCUGCACUAUACACAACACUGGAGUGUAAAAAUACCUGGAGUAGCUUCAAACAAACUAGCUCGUAUCCUGGAAAUAGUGUGGCUGCAGCAGCACAUUGCUCCACACCAACUAAUUAUCCUGCCAAAAGCAGGGUGAAUUAGGACAGAUCUCAAUGCUGCUGUGCCAGAUAGGGUGCCUGUGCUAGCCUGGGUAUCUUUACAAUACACUCCACUCCACUCCUUUUUAAGACUAUAGUUUAGAAAGAUCCUAAAAAGGCAAAUUAUAAUGCUGUGUACUUAGCCAGCACUUGGUUUGCUACCCUCAGGAUAGAAAAGUAUGAUAAAGACAAAGUUAAAUAAUUUGUUAUGCAAGAUGCUAGUGAUGAGAACUAUGGGGGAUAAUGUGUUAGUAAAGCUGAGGUCCAUUGGCAGAGCUGUGGGUCUCAGGGUGAAGAGCACCAGCCUGCAUUAUUCUUCCGUCCAACCAGUGUUGCCAGUCCUCAGUCCCAUGAAUUACCCACAUUCCUCACUGUUUCUCAUCUGAGCACCUGAUACCUCCCGAAUGUCUUGGUUUUGAAUUUCUCUACCUCUGAGCUCUGGUUGAGCCUCCUGUAUCCAGGGGAAACUAAUA